CGGAUACUUAAAAGAUGUCACUGGCCCAGGCGGUUUCCCAACGUGCUUCAAGACCACAACCAUUGUGCCAGGGCUGAAACAGUCAAACGUGUCUAGCAUGACUUCUGACCAGUUGCUUUCAACACUGUCAUCCCCUAUAAGGCCGGUCAACAAACUCCAUGACCUGGGGAUCAGCCCCUCUCUCUGCAACUGGACUCUGGACUUCCUAAUCAACAGUCAGGUUAAACAAUUUAACCUCCACCACCCUGAUACUGAACACUGGUGUUCCACAAGGCUGUGUGCUGAGCCCCUUCCUGUACUCCCUCUUCACCCACAACUGUGUUCCUGUACACAGUUCCAACACCAUCAUCAAGUUCGCAGACAAGGUGGUAGGCCGGAUUACUGAGACGAGUCAGUCUACAGGGAAGAGUCCAUACGCCUGACAGCAUGGAGCGUUGAAAACAAUCUGGCCCUCAACGCUAAGAAAACCAAGGAACUCAUUGUGAACUACAGGAAGUCUAAAACCUGCAUCCAUUUUAUCCUUAAAUAAAAUACUUUUUUUUGCAUGAUCAGUCAUAUUUUCUAAAUCAAUGCCAAAAUUUCACCAUUUCUGCCAGGAUAUGCAAACUUAUGAGUAUAACUGUAUACUUAAUAUUUGUUUAUACUGGCACAUUUUCUGCCCUCCUCUAUUUGCACUUCUGGUUAGACAAUAAUAAUAAUUACAAUUGUGACCAACUACCAGUAAGUAAUACAUUUGGUUUGGAAUUACAAUAAUUGUAUUCACAUUUAUUAUCUAAAGCUCUCUGCUCACCAGGUUCAACCACUUCUUUGACCUCCAUGGCAACAUCAUCAGGUUUGACCACUCCUUUGACUCCCAGCAAGGCAGUGAAUCCUACAUCAGGUAUAUUAUCUAUUAUUAUGUAAAGCUUAAUCUCCUGCAUUCUACCUGUUACAGACAAGUUACUAAUGCGUCACUUAAAGGCAUUAUUUGUUAUACCUACUUAAUAUUAAGCGGCAUCCCUCUAAGAAGUCACAUGUUAAACUGAUUUUGGUGAUUGUCAUAGAUUUUUGCUGUGCUGAUUACUUGCCUACUUGAUUUCUGAUGUGCAAAUAGGCUGAUAGGCUGCAGUCUGUACUAAUAAUAAUCUGAAAAGUACCUACAUUUGUCCUUUUAAUUAUUUAAAAGUACACUGUAUAUACUGUCCUCGCUACGUUUUUAGUGUAAUUGUACGAAGUUAGACAACAAGCCAAACUCAAUUCAUUAAAGACAUGCAAGCCAGGGAGUGAAUGUCCCAGUUCCAAAAUCGAUUGCCAUUAUUCAGUAGGUUUCAGGCAUAGACCAAGAAUGCUUUGUAGGUCUAUAAUGAAUCUGUGUGAAACUGUAAGAUAAAGAAAAUGUCACAAUUACUAAUUGAGUAUCUCAAAACCUAUACAGUCUAUCAAAAAAAAAAAAAAAGAAUUACAAUAUCACAGGUAUGUGUGGACUUCAGUAACAUUGAGAAUGC
ensembl:lncRNA